GCAUAUCAAUAAGCGGAGGAAAAGAAACUAACAAGGAUUCCCCUAGUAACUGCGAGUGAAGCGGGAAAAGCUCAAAUUUAAAAUCUGGCGGUCUCCGGCCGUCCGAGUUGUAGUCUGGAGAAGCGUUUUCCGCGUUGGACCGUGUACAAGUCUCCUGGAACGGAGCGUCAUAGAGGGUGAGAAUCCCGUCUUUGACACGGACCCCAGUGCUUUGUGAUGCGCUCUCAAAGAGUCGAGUUGUUUGGGAAUGCAGCUCAAAAUGGGUGGUGAAUUCCAUCUAAAGCUAAAUAUUGGCGAGAGACCGAUAGCGAACAAGUACCGUGAGGGAAAGAUGAAAAGCACUUUGGAAAGAGAGUUAAACAGUACGUGAAAUUGUUGAAAGGGAAACGCUUGAAGUCAGUCGCGUUGGCCGGGACUCAGCCUUGCAUUUGCUUGGUGUACUUUCCGGUCGACGGGCCAGCAUCAGUUUUGACCGCGGGAUAAAGGCAGAGGGAAUGUGGCUCCUCCGGGAGUGUUAUAGCCCUUCGUCAGAUGUCGCGGUUGGGACUGAGGAACUCAGCACGCCUUUAUGGCCGGGGUUCGCCCACGUACGUGCUUAGGAUGCUGGCGUAAUGGCUUUAAACGACCCGUCUUGAAACACGGACCAAGGAGUCUAACAUGCCUGCGAGUGUUCGGGUGGAAAACCCGUGCGCGUAAUGAAAGUGAAAGUUGGGAUCCCUGUCGUGGGGUGCACCGACGCCCGGACCAGACCUUCUGUGACGGAUCUGCGGUAGAGCAUGUAUGUUGGGACCCGAAAGAUGGUGAACUAUGCCUGAAUAGGGUGAAGCCAGAGGAAACUCUGGUGGAGGCUCGUAGCGAUUCUGACGUGCAAAUCGAUCGUCAAAUUUGGGUAUAGGGGCGAAAGACUAAUCGAACCAUCUAGUAGCUGGUUCCUGC
rnacentral:rRNA from 1 species